rnacentral:rRNA from 1 species
GACAGAGGCCUCGAGCGUUAGGCGGAAUCACUGGGCUUAAAGCGUGUGUAGGCGGAAGCGUAAGUACCUUGUGAAAUCCCACGGCUCAACCGUGGAACCGCUGGGUAUACUGCGUUUCUUGAGCCAUUUAGGGGCGAGUGGAACGGAUGGUGGAGCGGUGAAAUGCAUAGAUAUCAUCCGGAACGCCUGUGGUGAAGACGACUCGCUGGGAAUGUGCUGACGCUGAGACACGAAAGCCAGGGGAGCAAACGGG